UCUGGCUUUAAACUCACUAGGCCCAUGUGGUGAUAAUUUUUUUUUAAGUCUUUACAGUUGGGAGGGAAGGCAAUGCCUAUCAUUCAUUAAUAGGGCCUCCAAGACUUUUGGAGAGAAGAAAGAUGAUAUACUUAAACAGAGUGGAUUCUGCUAAGGAUACCCCAGGACCAGAUGAUGGUGCUAAAAUAGGCAACAGAUUAUGUCUGCCCCACCAAGCAGACCAUGGCAGGAUUUCAA